rnacentral:rRNA from 1 species
UACAGAGGGGGCAAGCGUUGUUCGGAAUUACUGGGCGUAAAGGGCGCGUAGGCGGCCCUCUAAGUCGAACGUGAAAUCCCUGGGCUCAACCCAGGAACUGCGUCCGAGACUGGGGGGCUAGAAUCCGGGAGAGGGAUGUGGAAUUCCAGGUGUAGCGGUGAAAUGCGUAGAUAUCUGGAGGAACAUCGGUGGCGAAGGCGGCAUCCUGGACCGACACUGACGCUGAGGCGCGAAAGCUAGGGUAGCAAACGGG